UGAUGUGGGCAUUUACAAUGGUCUGUGGGUGGCUUAGCUGCCAUCAGUGAUCCAGACUUCUGAUUUGCUGACCGUGCAAUCACCAGUAAUGGCUGCCUUCUACUUCUUCAGAUGCCACCUAGGGUUUGAGCUGCCUCAGCCUCUAAAGGCUGAGGUUUUCCCUAGAAUGUAGUAGUCUUUGGUUCAUUAUGGAACUAUAACAUGUGGCAAACACUGUAGUAGCAUUCAGUUGGCUCAGGCUGGGGCAUAACACUG
rnacentral:lncRNA from 1 species